CUUUGGAUAUAUAAUAGGGUAUGAAGAAAGUGUAGAGUUAUGUUGAAUAGCAUAUCCAACAUAUUGUGCGAAUCCCAAACCAUUUAAAUAAUUGUGGAGAGUGUUCUGGGAAUUCCCAACUCUCUCUUGUAAUUUGAACACCACCAAUGUUACUUUUCAGAAGAAGUAGCCAAGAAUAACAGUGCGAGUCUCUAUUGGCAGAGAUUUAUUAUUAUCUCAAAAAAAAAAAAAAAGAAGUAUUUUUGUUUUUGUUUCUUCUUUCGAUCUUCUUCUUCUUCUGCCAAAAGAGACUUGCCCUGCCAUUCCAUUCAGCUACACACACACACACGCACCCAUGACCUUCUUCAACAUCGGCUAAAUGCUAUAAUUUAGAAUUUUCGGAGAAGCCAUGGAUUUAUUUAUUCUGGAAAAAUGGUGGAUUAAAUGUGAGGAAAAGGACAGGAGAGAAUUGGAAUCGUAUUGACCAAAAGUUUGCUGCAAGGAGAAGCGAAGUGUAUGUCACAUAUAGCUCUCUUUUGAAUUAAAAGAGAGAGGAAUAUAUAUUGCUCUUUCAAAGUUUUUGUCUGUUUGUUGGGGUUAUUCUAUUCUAUGGCCGUGGGGCACAAAGGAAUGUCCAUUAAUUACUAUUAUUAAUUAUUAAUUGUUUUUGAGUUAGUGAAUCA